rnacentral:rRNA from 1 species
CAGUAGCCACGGUAAUACAGAGGGUGCGAGCGUUAAUCGGAUUUACUGGGCGUAAAGCGUGUGUAGGUUGUUGUUCAAGUCAGUUGUGAAAUCCCUGGACUCAACCUGGGAACUGCUUCUGAGACUGAACGACUAGAGUACGGUAGAGGGUGGUGGAAUUUCCGGUGUAGCGGUGAAAUGCGUAGAUAUCGGAAGGAACAUCAAUGGCGAAGGCAGCCACCUGGGCCUGUACUGACACUGAGACACGAAAGCGUGGGGAUCAAACAGGAUUAGAUACCCCCGUAGUCCCUGUCUCUUAUAC